rnacentral:misc_RNA from 1 species
GAGAGAUAUGAGUUGGGGCAAUGAAAUGUUUAUUGGAGAAAAAGUUUCCUGGAUACAUGAGUGGGUUUCACAACUGCAAUAAAGCCCUCAUGGGUUGAUACUCUGAUAAUCUUUCCUUGUUAGAGAUCUUCUACUUGAUAGGCUGAGAGAUGUGUACUGAAUGUCUUGCAGAAAAGCGCCUUGAUGAUGACACUGUCUACCAAGCAAGCAAGACAAAUUUGCAAUAACACCACAAGAUUUUUUUUCAACAGACUAGCAA